UACGAAGGGGGGCUAGCGUUGUUCGGAAUUACUGGGCGUAAAGGGCUCGUAGGCGGCCAACUAAGUCCGACGUGAAAUCCCAAGGCUUAACCUUGGAACUGCGUCGGAUACUGGAUGGCUUGAAUUCGGGAGAGGGAUGCAGAAUUCCAGGUGUAGCGGUGAAAUGCGUAGAUAUCUGGAGGAAUACCGGUGGCGAAGACGGCAUCCUGGACCGACAUUGACGCUGAUGAGCGAAAGCUAGGGGGAGCAAACGGG
rnacentral:rRNA from 1 species